CCCCCCCUUCACAGAAAACAGGAAAACAUCUCACUGAAUCCAAACAUGAGUGUGUGCACUUUGGCUAGAUGUGAGGUCAGGGUUGUGUGUGUGUUUUUUUAAAGAGCUGCCAAACCAGGUGUGUAUGGUCUGCUAGAUGCCAGAGAGCCAAAGCUCAUUUCUGCCCCACUGCCCUGCUCACUCACUCGCUCUCACUCUCACACACACUCACACACACACACACACACACACACACACACACACACACACACACACACACACACACACACACACACACACACACACACACACACACACACACACACACACACACACACACACACACCCUCUGAGAUUUUACAACCAAAAUACUUAAGUGUUCCAGGAAUCUCUGCCAACCAAAACGUAAUCUCUCUCUUCUGCCGCCCAGUUUCUGUGUGUGUGUGUGUGUUUGUGUUUGCCAACAUGAUUCUAAUGGCUCCUAAACUGAGUUCUAACGGCUGAGUCUUCUCUCUCUCCUCAUCUAACACUUUUUCUAUCUCUCCAUCCCAUCUCUCUCUCUAUCUCCUUCUCGCUCUCCCUCCCUCCUACCUCCCCAUCUCUCUCUCUAUCUCCUUCUCGCUCUCCCUCCUACCUCCCCCUUCUCUCUCUCUAUCUCCUUCUUGCUCUCCCUCCUACCUCCCCAUCUCUCUCUCCGUCUCUCUCUCCCUCUUACCUCCCCCUUCUCUAUCUAUCUCCUUCUCUCUCUCCCUCUUACCUCCCCCCUCAGCUCUCUCUCCUUCUCUCUCUCCCUCUUACCUCCCCCCUCAUCUCUCUCUCCUUCUCUCUCUCCCUCCUACCUCCCCUUCUCUCUCUAUCUCCUUCUCUCUCUCCCUCUUACCUCCCCCUUCUCUCUUACCUCCCCUGCUCUCUCUCUCUCUCUCUCUCCUUCUCUCUCUCCCUCUUACCUCCCCUUCACUCUCUCUAUCUCCUCUCUCUCCCUCUUACCCCCCCUCAUCUCUCUCUCCUUCUCUCUCUCCCUCUUACCUUCCCCUUCUCUCUCUCUAUCUCCUUCUCUCUCUCCCUCUUACCUCCCCUUCACUCUCUCUAUCUCCUCUCUCUCCCUCUUACCCCUCCUCAUCUCUCUCUCCUUCUCUCUCUCCCUCUUACCUCCCCCUUCUCUCUCUCCAUCCCAUCUCUCUCUCUAUCUCCUUCUCGCUCUCCCUCCCUCCUACCUCCCCAUCUCUCUCUCUAUCUCCUUCUCGCUCUCCCUCCUACCUCCCCCUUCUCUCUCUCUAUCUCCUUCUUGCUCUCCCUCCUACCUCCCCAUCUCUCUCUCCGUCUCUCUCUCCCUCUUACCUCCCCCUUCUCUAUCUAUCUCCUUCUCUCUCUCCCUCUUACCUCCCCCCUCAUCUCUCUCUCCUUCUCUCUCUCCUUCUUACCUCCCCCUUCUCUCUCUCCGUCUCUCUCUCCCUCUUACCUCCCCAUCUCUCUCUCAAUCUCCUUCUCGCUCUCCCUCCUACCUCCCCCUUCUCUCUCUCUAUCUCCUUCUUGCUCUCCCUCCUACCUCCCCAUCUCUCUCUCCGUCUCUCUCUCCCUCUUACCUCCCCCUUCUCUAUCUAUCUCCUUCUCUCUCUCCCUCUUACCUCCCCCCUCAUCUCUCUCUCCUUCUCUCUCUCCCUCUUACCUCCCCCCUCAUCUCUCUCUCCUUCUCUCUCUCCCUCCUACCUCCCCCUUCUCUCUCUAUCUCCUUCUCUCUCUCCCUCUUACCUCCCCCUUCUCUCUCUCCGUCUCUCUCUCCCUCUUACCUCCCCCUUCUCUCUCUCUCUCUCUCUCUCCUUCUCUCUCUCCCUCUUACCUCCCCUUCACUCUCUCUAUCUCCUCUCUCUCCCUCUUACCCCCCCUCAUCUCUCUCUCCUUCUCUCUCUCCCUCUUACCUCCCCCUUCUCUCUCUCUAUCUCCUUCUCUCUCUCCCUCUUACCUCCCCUUCACUCUCUCUAUCUCCUCUCUCUCCCUCUUACCUCCCCCUUCUCUCUCUCUAUCUCCUUCUCUCUCUCCCUCUUACCUCCCCCUUCUCUCUCUCCGUCUCUCUCUCCCUCUUACCUCCCCCUUCUCUCUCUCUCGCUCUCUCUCUCCUUCUCUCUCUCCCUCUUACCUCCCCUUCACUCUCUCUAUCUCCUCUCUCUCCCUCUUACCCCCCCUCAUCUCUCUCUCCUUCUCUCUCUCCCUCUUACCUACCCAUCUCUCUCUCUCAGUCUCUCUCUCUUUCGCUCUACUUCUUAACCAAUUCAAUGCCAAAGCACAUAGAAACACAUUAAAUCCCUGAAAUAAAUCAUACAAAAAAUUAUAAUAAAACAAGAUAUCACAGUAUGACUUCAUGUUCCGACAUCCUUGGACAAACAUAGAUUUUUCCUAGUAAACUGACUUCAUCCCCCGAUGUCCUGUGACAAAAAGUGCUAAAUUUAGGCAACACAACUCUUACAGUCAAAUCUAGGCAUUCAUUAUGACUGGGUUAAAGGGCAACCCCGGCACUUUCCAAC
ensembl:lncRNA